UAGUUACAAGCCUCCACUAAGGUGAAACCGCGAAUGGCUCAUUAAAUCACACCUAAUGUACUGGAUAGUCUCAGUUACUUGGAUAACUGCGGUAAUUCUGGAGCUAAUACAUGCGCAAAACCGCGACUCACGGAGCGGUGCUUUUAUUAGAUCAAAACCAAACGGCCUCGAGCCGUCCCCCUGGUGAUUCUGAAUAACUUUGGGCUGAUCGCAUGGCCUUGAGCCGGCGACGUAUCCUUCCAAGGUGUGCCCUAUCAACUGUCGACUGUGGCAUAGACGCCCACAGUGGUUUUGACGGGUAACGGGGAAUUAGGGUUCGAUUCCGGAGAGGGAGCCUGAGAAACGGCUACCACUUCUACGGAAGGCAGCAGGCACGCAAAUUACCCACUGGCCGAAGGCCGAGGUAGUGACGAAAAAUAACGAUACCGGACUCAUCCGAGGCCCGGUAAUCGGAAUGAGUACACUUUAAAUCCUUUAACGAGGAACAAUUGGAGGGCAAGUCUGGUGCCAGCAGCCGCGGUAAUUCCAGCUCCAAUAGCGUAUAUUAAAGUUGUUGCGGUUAAAAAGCUCGUAGUUGGAUCUCGGCAGGCAGGGGGUGGUUCGCUCUUAGCGCUACUGCCCCAUUUGCCUGUGUGAUUGGCGGAGGUUUCGGGGUGCUCUUCGUUGAGUGACCCGGGGCGCCGUCAGGUUUACUUUGAAAAAAUUAGAGUGCUCAAAGCAGGCUUUUAUCGCUUGAAUAUUCGUGCAUGGAAUAAUGGAAUAGGAACUCGUUUCUAUUUUGUUGGUUUUCGGAAAUCGAGUUAAUGAUUAAUAGGGACAAUUGGGGGCAUUAGUAUUCAGACGACAGAGGUGAA
rnacentral:rRNA from 1 species